rnacentral:rRNA from 1 species
CCGAUAUCUUGAUUAUCUAAUUGGUGGGGUAAAGGCCUACCUUGGCGACAAUCCUGAUCAGAUCUGAUAGGAUGAUCCGUCACACUGGCACUGACACACGGCCCAGACUCCUACGGGAGGCAACAGUGGCCAAUUUUGGACCAUGGCCGCAAGCCUGAUCCAGCCAUGCCUCGUGUCUGAAGAAUGCCUUCGGGUUGUAGAGGACUUUUGUCACGAAAAAAAACGCCGGCGUUAAUACCCCUGUCUGAUGACGGCACCUGAGCAAUAAACAACAGCUAACUACGUGCCAGCAGCCGCGGUAAUACAUAGGGUGCGAACGUUAUUCCGAAAUUACUGGGCGUAAAGCAGCCUCAGACGGCUUCUUAAACAGGAGGGAAAAUCCCCGGGCUCCACGUGGGAAAGAGAGUUCUGAACUGGGUGUCUAGAGUGUCUCAGAGGGAGGUAGAAUUCCACUGUGUAGCAGUGAAAUCCGUAGAGAUGUGGAGGAAUACCGAUGGCGAAGGCAGCCUCGUGUGAUAACACUCACGUUCACGCCAGACAGCGUGGGUAGCAAACAGGAUUAGAUACUCUGGUAGUACACGCCAUAAACGAUGUCGAUUAGCUGUUGGGCAGCUUGCAUGAGUAGUAGAGAAGCUAACGCGUGAAAUCGACCGCCUGGUGAGUACGGUCACAAGAUUAAAACUCAAAGGAAUUGACGGGGACCCUCACAAGCGGUGGACGAUGUGGAUUAAUUCGAUGCAACGGGAAGAACCUUACCUGGUCUCGACAUGUACGGAACCCUCCAGAGUCGGAGGGGUGCCUUUGGGAGCCGUAACACAGGUGCUGCAUGGCUGUCGUCAGCUCGUAUCGCGAGAUGUUGGUUUAAGUCCCGCAACGAGCGCACCCUUUGUCAUUAGUUGCCAUCAUUAAGUUGGGCAAUCUAAUGCGGUUGCCGGUGACAAGCCGUAGGAAGGUGGGGAUGACGUCAAGUCCUCUUGGCCUUUAUGACCAGGGCUUCCCACCUCAUACAAUGUUCGGUACAGAGGGUAGCCAAGCCGCGAGGUGGAGCCAAUAUCACAAAUCCGAUAGUAGUCCGGAUUGCACUCUGCAACUCGAGUGCAAGAAGUGAGAAUAGGUAGUAAUAGCAAGUCAGCAUACUGCGUCGAAUACGUUCCUGGGUGUUGUACACACCGCCCGUCACACCAUGGGAGUGGGGGAUCCCAGAAGUAGGUAGG